rnacentral:rRNA from 1 species
GACGAACGCUGGCGGCGUGCUUAACACAUGCAAGUCGAACGGUGAAGCGCCUUCCUUUUUGGUGGGUGUUGAGGAGUGGCGAACGGGUGAGUACCACGAUAGUAACCUGCCCCCUUCUUCUGGAUAACCGCAUGAAAGUGUGGCUAAUACGGGAUAUUCUGGGUCUGUUGCAUGAUGGGUCUGGGACGGAUAUGGUUUCGGUGGGGGAUGGGCUCGCGGCCUAUCAGCUAGUUGGUGGGGUGAGGGCCUACCAAGGCGGUGAAGAGUAGCCGGCCUGAGAGGGUCGACGGUACCACUAGGGCUACGACGCGGAGAAGACUCCGACGGGAGGCAGCAGUGGGGAAUAUGGCACAGGGGGCGGCAGGCUGAUGCAACGACGCCGGGGGGGGGAUGGAGGCCGUCGGGUAGUGAACUGCUAUCGCCAGUGAAGAAGGCCGGCCUCGAUUGUGGGUGGGUUGACGGUAGCUGGAUAAGAAGCGCCGGCUAACUACGUG